rnacentral:sRNA from 1 species
GCAGACCAUUUGACCAGAACGUGUGCAACUCAGCCAGCCACAGAACUGGAAUUUUUCAGGAGCAGGGGGAGCAUGGAGUUUGGACUUUGCUGAGCAACUGAAGUGGAGCGCAGAGCUUGCUCGCUUAGGAGAGAGCAUCAUGGAUGGCAAACAAGGGGGCAUGGAUGGGAGCAAGCCCGCGGGGCCAAGGGACUUUCCUGGCAUCAGGCUUCUUUCAAACCCAUUGAUGGGCGAUGCUGUGUCUGAUUGGUCUCCUAUGCAUGAAGCUGCAAUCCAUGGACAUCAGCUGUCUCUGAGGAACCUCAUCAGCCAGGGGUGGGCUGUGAACAUCAUCACGGCAGAUCAUGUUUCCCCACUCCAUGAAGCCUGUCUUGGAGGUCAUCUCUCUUGUGUGAAGAUUUUAUUAAAGCAUGGAGCUCAGCACGGAGCCAGCGUUCAACCUGAGAGUGAUCUGGCAUCCCCCAUCCAUGAAGCUGCUAGGAGAGGCCACGUGGAGUGUGUCAACUCUCUUAUAGCUUAUGGGGGCAACAUUGACCAUAAGAUCAGCCACCUGGGCACUCCACUCUAUUUGGCUUGUGAAAACCAACAGAGAGCCUGUGUCAAGAAGCUUCUGGAGUCAGGAGCGGACGUGAACCAAGGGAAAGGUCAGGAUUCCCCACUUCAUGCAGUGGCCAGGACAGCCAGUGAAGAGCUGGCCUGGCUGCUCAUGGAUUUUGGAGCAGACACCCAGGCCAAGAAUGCUGAAGGCAAACGUCCUGUGGAGCUGGUGCCUCCAGAGAGCCCCUUGGCCCAGCUCUUCUUGGAGAGAGAAGGGCCCCCUUCUUUGAUGCAGUUAUGCCGCCUUAGAAUUCGGAAGUGUUUUGGAAUCCAGCAGCAUCAUAAGAUAACCAAACUCGUCCUCCCAGAGGAUCUGAAACAGUUUCUCCUACAUCUUUAAAUGCAUCUAGGGAAUGGAUUCACAAACGAUGUGAAAACAUUAUUGAGUGUUGUAGCCACUAGAAUUUUAAAAUCAAGUUGGAUUUAUAGAGUUUGACUAGUUUUUUCGAUUAGAUUUGUAUUUGUUAUAAACUUGUUUAUGGAGUUUGACUAAUUUUUUCUAUUCAAUUUGUAUUUGUUAAACUCAAGCCAGGGUUGAAAGACACUGCAUACGUUU